rnacentral:pre_miRNA from 1 species
UCGUCAAGGCUAACGGAAGAAGAGAGAGAGUACAGCUUUGGGUUGUUAAGGUCAUAAGACUUGUGUGACUCUGAGAUCUUUUUCGCCAAGGCUGUACCCUCUCUCUUCGUCUCUUAGCAUCUUGAUGC